AUUGAACGCUGGCGGCAGGCCUAACACAUGCGAGUCGAACGGUAGCACAGAGAGCUUGCUCUCGGGUGACGAGUGGCGGACGGGUGAGUAAUGUCUGGGAAACUGCCCGAUGGAGGGGGAUAACUACUGGAAACGGUAGCUAAUACCGCAUAACGUCGCAAGACCAAAGUGGGGGACCUUCGGGCCUCACACCAGCGGAUGUGCCCAGAUGGGAUUAGCUAGUAGGUGGGGUAAUGGCUCACCUAGGCGACGGUCCCUAGCUGGUCUGAGAGGAUGACCAGCCACCCUGGAACUGAGACACGGUCCGGACUCCUACGGGAGGCAGCAGUGGGGAAUAUUGCACAAUGGGCGCAAGCCUGAUGCAGCCAUGCCGCGUGUAUGAAGAAGGCCUUCGGGUUGUAAAGUACUUUCAGCGGGGAGGAAGGCGGUGAAGUUAAUAGCUUCACCGAUUGACGUUACCCGCAGAAGAAGCACCGGCUAACUCCGUGCCAGCCGCCGCAGUAA
rnacentral:rRNA from 1 species